rnacentral:rRNA from 1 species
AGGGUUUGAUCCUGGCUCAGAACGUACGCUGGCGGCACGCCUUAUACAUGCAAGUCGAACGAAGUAGCAAUACUUAGUGGCAGACGGGUGAGUAACAUGUGGGUAUCUUCCCUUUGGCCUGGAAUAACACGAGGAAACUUGUGCUAAUACCGGAUAAGUCUUUACAGAGAAAGCUUUAUGCACCAUUGGAUGAGCCUGCACUUGAUUAGUUUGUUGGUGGGGUAAUGGCUUACCAAGACAAUGAUCAAUAGCUGAUUUGAGAGGAUGAUCAGCCACAUUGGAACUGAGACACGGUCCAAACUCCUACGGGAGGCAGCAGUAGGGAAUCUUGCACAAUGGAGGAAACUCUGAUGCAGCGAUGCCGCGUGAGUGAAGAAGGCCUUUGGGUUGUAAAGCUCUUUCGUCGGGGAAGAAAAUGACUGUACCCGAAUAAGAAGGUCCGGCUAACUUCGUGCCAGCAGCCGCGGUAAUACGAAGGGACCUAGCGUAGUUCGGAAUUACUGGGCUUAAAGAGUUCGUAGGUGGUUAAAAAAGUUGGUGGUGAAAUCCCAGAGCUUAACUCUGGAACUGCCAUCAAAACUUUUUAGCUAGAGUAUGAUAGAGGAAAGCAGAAUUUCUAGUGUAGAGGUGAAAUUCGUAGAUAUUAGAAAGAAUACCGAUUGCGAAGGCAGCUUUCUGGAUCAUUACUGACACUGAGGAACGAAAGC